AUUGAACGCUGGCGGCAUGCUUUACACAUGCAAGUCGAACGGUAACAGGCCGCCAGGUGCUGACGAGUGGCGAACGGGUGAGUAAUGCAUCGGAACGUGCCCAGUCGUGGGGGGUAACUACUCGAAAGAGUAGCUAAUACCGCAUACGAUCUAUGGAUGAAAGCGGGGGACCGUAAGGCCUCGCGCGAUUGGAGCGGCCGAUGUCAGAUUAGGUAGUUGGUGGGGUAAAGGCUCACCAAGCCAACGAUCUGUAGCUGGUCUGAGAGGACAACCAGCCACACUGGGACUGAGACACGGCCCAGACUCCUACGGGAGGCAGCAGUGGGGAAUUUUGGACAAUGGGCGCAAGCCUGAUCCAGCAAUGCCGCGUGCAGGAAGAAGGCCUUCGGGUUGUAAACUGCUUUUGUACGGAGCGAAACGGCUCUGGUUAAUACCCGGGGCUAAUGACGGUACCGUAAGAAUAAGCACCGGCUAACUACGUG
rnacentral:rRNA from 1 species